UACGAAGGGGGCUAGCGUUGCUCGGAAUCACUGGGCGUAAAGGGUGCGUAGGCGGGUCUUUUAAGUCAGAGGUGAAAUCCUGGAGCUCAACUCCAGAACUGCCUUUGAUACUGGCGAUCUUGAGUCCGGGAGAGGUGAGUGGAACUGCGAGUGUAGAGGUGAAAUUCGUAGAUAUUCGCAAGAACAUCAGUUGCGAAGGCGGCUCUCUGGACCAGCACUGACACUGAGGCACGAAAGCGUGGGGAGCAAACAGG
rnacentral:rRNA from 1 species